rnacentral:rRNA from 1 species
UACGGAGGGGGCAAGCGUUGUUCGGAAUGACUGGGCGUAAAGGGCGCGUAGGCGGCCUGAUAAGUUAGGCGUGAAAGCCCCGGGCUUAACCUGGGAGGUGCGUUUAAGACUGUUAGGCUUGAGAGCGAGAGAGGAAAGCGGAAUUCCUAGUGUAGAGGUGAAAUUCGUAGAUAUUAGGAAGAACAUCAGAGGCGAAGGCGGCUUUCUGGCUCGUAACUGACGCUGAGGCGCGAAAGCGUGGGGAGCAAACAGG